AUUGAACGCUGGCGGCAGGCCUAACACAUGCAAGUCGGACGGUAGCACAGAGGAGCUUGCUCCUCGGGUGACGAGUGGCGGACGGGUGAGUAAUGUCUGGGGAUCUGCCCGAUAGAGGGGGAUAACCACUGGAAACGGUGGCUAAUACCGCAUAACGUCGCAAGACCAAAGAGGGGGACCUUCGGGCCUCCCACUAUCGGAUGAACCCAGAUGGGAUUAGCUAGUAGGCGGGGCAACGGCCCACCUAGGCGACGAUCCCUAGCUGGUCUGAGAGGAUGACCAGCCACACUGGAACUGAGACACGGUCCAGACUCCUACGGGAGGCAGCAGUGGGGAAUAUUGCACAAUGGACGCAAUCCUGAUGCAGCCAUGCCGGGUGUAUGAAGAAGGCCUUCGGGUUGUAAAGGACUUUCAGCGGGGAGGAAGGCGAUGUGGUUAAUAACCGCGUCGAUUGACGUUACCCGCAGAAGAAGCACCGGCUAACUCCGUGCCAGCAGCCGCCGUAA
rnacentral:rRNA from 1 species